GUCUUCCCAAAAGGCAUAUUUUUUUCAGUGUUGGACAUGCAGCACAAAUAAGAGUUUGCAUCCCGAUCUUUCCCAUAAAGCAUCACACAAUGCAUAUUACUAAUGUGGUCUCAAUAUAACACAUAUUUCAAUGACUUCAAAAUAUUACUUUAGUGGAUAUAAUUUAGAUCAGCAUUCAAAAAUAAUUAUGGGAUAUUUAAGUUGCCUCUAAUUCACUUCUGUUAUCAAUAAUACCUCUUUUCUGUUACCCUUUUCCCUAGUAUUUAAUUAUUUCCUUAGAAUAAACCUCCAACAGUAGAAUUAUUAGGUCAAAAGAGCUGAAAAGUUGAUGAAAUGGUUGGUUGUUACCUCUUCUGAUUAAUUUAUUUUAAAUCACAGUCUUCUUCCCUUGUUUAAAGCAGACUAACUUAGUGGCUCACUAACUUGCUAAUUAACUAGCUUGGUGUUCCAGGUUCCCAGUGCGUCCUAUUCACAUCCAGCUGGUUCAUGAUACCCUUGUCUUUUCUCCUUCCUGGCAAUGAUCCUCUGGUUUGUAGUUCUUUACACACAUAAGCUACAGGGAUAACUUUUUGCCCUGCAGCUUGAUCACUUCAGGGAUCCUGUCUCUGGCAUCAAGGAAUUCCCCAUCUGCAGAGCCUCUGUGAGACACAGCCUCAGUGGGUAGGAAAGAGGUGACUGAUGGGCCAGGCAAGGGCUGAGCUCCUGGCUAUCAGCUCCUUCUUUCUCUUACUAACUGGGUCUCUGCCAAAGCAUCUUGGGCUCUGCCACCAACCUAUCCCAAUGGCUCUUACCAUAAUUCAGGCAACCAUGUGAGCGUGGCACAGGCACUUAACCAUGCACCCACUCUGCCUGGAACUGGCAGGGACCUGGGACCCAUGAGGAACCCAUUGGGAACUCAGAUGCAAUCUCUCCUCUCAAGAACUCUGUAGGCUGAAAGAUAAGAAAUAUAUGCUCUAGGAAUAUAGCUGAGAGUUUAUGAUUACACGGAAGCUCAGAAGAGAAGGUUAUCAUCAUAAGCCUGGAGCUGGGAAUAGAAGGACAGAUAGGAAUCGGAGAGACAAAGACAUUCAAAGGACAUUGAGUUUGUAGCAUGAAGAGGUUCGCCAUUCGGUUGAUAAGCAUCUACCACUCCCCAGGCUCUGAGCUGGGUGCCUCGCACCCACAGAUGGGUGGAUAGAUCCCAGGCCUUCAGGAGAUCACACCCCCGUGGGAGAGACAUGCAGGAGAUGGUCACAAUACAGGGAAAUGUGUGCCAUCACAGAGGAACUCCCAGAACACUGUUAAUGCCGUACUCAGAUUUGUCCUGAAAAGAUGAAAGGUGGGACAAAAAAGAAAUCUUCUUUCUGGACCUCGAAGGAGUUGGAGUAUUGUAUGAUGAUCACACAAACAAAAUGUGAGGGUGCAGCUGUGGAGGGGAAAGGGCCUCUCCACCUUCACUCUGAAGACCUAAUUCCAGCUGUGUGACUGUGAUCAGGUUCUUCCAAGUCUCUGGACCUCGGUUUUAUCACAGGUAAAGUGGGGAUCAUAAUAAUUCUGCAACUUUUGGUAGCCCAAAAGAGAAGGAGGUACGAGAGUUACAAUUAUUCUUGUUGUAUAUGAAAGCAUUAUUGAAAACCCUCCAGCCUGGCAUAGAAGAGUGAUUAUUGGCAUGAUGGUUUGAUCCUAGCCACAAUUACCUGCCUCCAUGCUCCAGGCUCAUACCACAAAGGGGGAUGGCUAUAAAUGAGAAGGAUGCAACCUACCACCCACCACAUCUGCUUUCUUUCAUAGUCCUAAGUCCUCCUGAAUUUGAUUAUUAGUUUAUUUUCUCUUUCAGGAAAUUAAAAUGUGUAGCAUACACUAUCCCUAAGGGAUUUUAGAGGGGAUGGCAGGUUAGCCACACGGCCAGGGUUCACCUAUGUGUAACUUCACAGGACAUGGAUUCUAUCAUUUCUCACAAGAAACUGUGGCGAUAGCCAGAGAUGACAGAGGUGCCAGAUGAACCAAGGAGAGAGGGUAACUCAGAGGUGAUGACCUUUGUCCCUUAACUGACACCUCUGAGCUUGGUGGCUUCCACAGAGGUAGACACUUCUGUUUGCAUAUUGCUUUAAAGGGAUUAAAGGAUCUGCAUUCUGGAAGCCUCCUUCCUGGUUCUGCCCCAGGCUCUGAGCUCAUGCCCCAUUCAUUCCAUUGUAAUGAGAUGAACUCACAUUCCUUGGGAAUUUACUCUAUGCCAGGAAUUAUACUCUACCUUUUUUACACUGCCACACAGCUAUGCUGAUUAUCCCUACUUUACAGAGCAGGAAACUUAGGCAGAAAGUCAGUCAUUCACAGCUAACAAUUUGCUGGGAUUUGAGAGCUGAGUCAAACAGGCUAACUCCAGAGCCCAUACCUGUGACCAUUCUGGAAUUUUACCUCCUUCAAACAGGUAAGCCUGGAAUUCCCACAUCACAAGACAAACCUAAUGGCCUCAAAUCAGGAGUCAAAGCCAGAGGCUGUUCUUAG
rnacentral:lncRNA from 1 species